UACGGAGGGUGCAAGCGUUAAUCGGAAUUACUGGGCGUAAAGCGCACGCAGGUGGCUGAGUCAGUCGAUUGUGAAAGCCCUGGGCUUAACCUGGGAAUUGCAGUCGAUACUACUCAGCUAGAGUAUGGGAGAGGGUAGUGGAAUUCCCGGUGUAGCGGUGAAAUGCGCAGAUAUCGGGAAGAACACCUAUGGCGAAGGCAGCUCUCUGGGACGGUACUGACGCUGAGACGCGAAAGCGUGGGGAGCGAACAGG
rnacentral:rRNA from 1 species